rnacentral:lncRNA from 1 species
UAAGGGAACUCUCACUUAGAGAGUCCCAAGAGACUGAAUGAGGACUGAAGCUCUUGUCUAUUGUCAGACAUACAUCUCCACCAAUAGAGAGAGAAAUCCUUACCAACAGUCUUUGGGACAAGACCCCAACUGAAUGGAUGACCAUUGGCUGUAAGGUUCCAUAAAUGAAAAGAACUCUGGAAACAAGAAUCCCAAGCUGGGAAUCCCACAAGCUUUCCAUUUGAGGAAAAGGAAAUAUAGCUCUGUGGAGCUUCAUGACAUUGUGGGGACCAAGUGCUACAUAUAUCAGGAACAGAGACAGUCAAACAACUGGCCUAGGUUCACACACCCUCAAAUAAGGCUGACUUGAAUGCAGAUCUUCCUGAUUUGAAGACCAGUGCUCUACUCAACUGAUUGCUGUUUUAAGAAGAAAGGAAUAUCAUUCUGAAAUUUAAGAACUCUAAAAUACACCACUCUAGUAAUUA